GACGAACGCUGGCGGCGUGCCUAAUACAUGCAAGUUGAGCGCUGAAGGUUGGUACUUGUACCGACUGGAUGAGCAGCGAACGGGUGAGUAACGCGUGGGGAAUCUGCCUUUGAGCGGGGGACAACAUUUGGAAACGAAUGCUAAUACCGCAUAAAAACUUUAAACACAAGUUUUAAGUUUGAAAGAUGCAAUUGCAUCACUCAAAGAUGAUCCCGCGUUGUAUUAGCUAGUUGGUGAGGUAAAGGCUCACCAAGGCGAUGAUACAUAGCCGACCUGAGAGGGUGAUCGGCCACAUUGGGACUGAGACACGGCCCAAACUCCUACGGGAGGCAGCAGUAGGGAAUCUUCGGCAAUGGACGAAAGUCUGACCGAGCAACGCCGCGUGAGUGAAGAAGGUUUUCGGAUCGUGAAACUCGGUUGGUAGAGAAGAACGUUGGUGAGAGUGGAAAGCUCAUCAAGUGACGGUAACUACCCAGAAAGGGACGGCUAACUACGUG
rnacentral:rRNA from 1 species